rnacentral:lncRNA from 1 species
CACAGAACAACCAUGAGAGGAGCUUAGGAGCAGGGGUGCCCUGACUUGGGGAAGGAAUUCCUCUAUCAAAUCAGAUGCAGAAUCUGAGGCCAGAGAAGUCGGGUGACAAGCCUUCAGAGUAAGCCAAGCGAGUCUUUGGGGAAGCUGGGCUGAGAGGCCUCCUGACUCCUCUUCCAGGGUUUGUCAGCUCAGACAGACUGCUUCAAAAUCUCUCUGUUGGUUCCUGCUGAGCUGGUAGUGUUGGACUAUUAUAUCUAACCCACUGGAAGAGCACCUUCUGCAUUCCAGGCCCUUGGAUGCUGGUAGAAAAUGCACAGAUGAAUGAGCCAGAAUCCCUGCCUUCAAGGAGCUGGAAAUCUAGCCUGGAGACAAACUUAGCAAACAAGCCGCUGCUAUAAAAUGCACUAAGUGCUACGAUAGAGGAGCAGAGGACCAUCGGAAACAGGAAGGAGAAGGUGUCUUGCUCCCUGCUAGAGGAGCAAGCUUUCAGAGGAGGAAAUGUUUGAAAACCCUAAUGGAUACACAGCAGAUGAUGGUGUGCCUAGGCAAGAAGAGCAAAUUCACUGUGGCAGACGUUCAGAGAGUGGUGGGAGAUGGGACCAUAAGGGAGGUCGUCAUCAUUAUGAAGAACUUUACACGCCGUACUUACUAAUCGGGAUUUUAUCCUAAUUUGUCACCUCUUCUGAGAAACUGUCCCACAUUCCUUCUGAGAGAUGUUAUUCAUUUUGGCGAGUCUUCACCAGACUGGGAGGACAAACUGGUAAUAUCCACAGUAAUGUCUAACAUUUUGUUUCCUGACAUCACCAACUACAUGAUGUAGAAACUCAGCCCCCUGCCUGCUGAGCAUUCCCACCAGGACUUUCUGGACGUUCCCGUGGAGUGUCCACAGUGCCUCACAUGUGCUCCUGGAUAUGUCUGUCCCCAGCAGGAAAUCCACCUCUACUUUUGUUGUGGGCAGUGCUUUUCAUCAAGUUCCACUGCUUUUUCCCGGAAAACUGUGGUCUCCUCAGGGUCCUCUCUUGCUCCUAUGGACCCCAUCACCUCCAUCCUGCUCUGGAGACACUGUGAUCUCCACCAGGAAUUGUUCACUCCUCUGCCACCCCGUAUACCACCACUGCUGUAUUUGAGCAAUGUUUCCAAAGUGUACUUCCAAGAUCCAAGUUCUGCAGAAUGCCACAUGUGUUCUAGAGAUUUUGAUUUUAACGCUGGAUUCCAU